GCCUGUAUUACUUGUGUCUGAAAUGUUGUAAGACAUUCUUUCUGAAAGAUAGAGUGGUAGACUGCUUCCAUUGGGAGGCUUGAGCACCUGCUCACUUACAUUUUAAUUGUUUUUAGCAUGGUACAGAAUGCUGAUAGAGUUAUAUUUAUCAUUGUUUAUUUAGGUAUAUGAAUGACAGUCCAGCCUUAUGUACAGCAGUUUGGUUUAUGACGCCGAGCUGGACUUUUCAGUUGUGAAGUUUCCAAUUCUAGUUAGGAUUUUAUUUUAAUGUUUUCCUAUUUCAUUUUAGUUUCUUAUUCUAUUUAGGAUUUUAAUAUAUU
rnacentral:misc_RNA from 1 species